rnacentral:lncRNA from 1 species
UGUGACAGUGAAGGGAGGAUGAAUCUGAAAUGAGACCCAGAUGCACCCAUGUGGGUAUGUUCGUGCAAACUGUGCAGGGCCUGCUUAAAUGUGCUACGCGGUCCGGGCACCCGCUGCCAUUGCACAAGGCCAGCUCGUCCUUGCUUUGCAUUUAUCUCUCUGAAUAGUUAGCGCAGAUCUUCAGGGUUUGCUGUUAAACCACCCGCGACGAACCAGAGGGAGACAUGGGGGAGCAAUCUAAAGUUGAGUCCUUCUCUAGACUUCUUUGGAUCUGGGUAAAAAUGACAGUGACAAAGCCAUCUCCUCCAUAGCGUUCAUUUGAAAUCCAAGCGGAAACCACAGACUGAACAUGUUCUCCAAUUUUAAAUAGAUCUGGUGAAAGUAUUAAUCACUUGUCUCUGUCACAGCAUUGUUGGGAUGUUGUGCUGCCUGCAGGCAGAAGGUCUGAUCCUGGAAGGAAACGGUGUGAAGGCCCCAGCUCCAAUUUUGCAACGUGAAAUGCUCAGAUCAUCUGGAUCAUUUCUGGAUGAGAUUUCAGGUUUCUCAGCGAUAACAACCUAACCGAGCCCUCAGCACUGCUCGCGGGUAACCGUAACGGAGGGCCACUCGAUGCUGCUGCGGGGACCAAGGUUGCAAUGGUGCUGUGUGGACCACCAUGUCCCAGGGGCCUGGCGGGGCUCGGCUGAGGACAUCAUCUCUUUAUAAGCGCGGGUGGACUGCUGAUUGGGAAAACCCCAAGCGCUUUCCCAAGCCUGAAUGAAAUAAAAAUAUGAUUUACCCAUUUUAAAAAUCA